AUUGAACGCUGGCGGCAGGCCUAACACAUGCAAGUCGAGCGGAUGAAGGGAGCUUGCUCCUGGAUUCAGCGGCGGACGGGUGAGUAAUGCCUAGGAAUCUGCCUGGUAGUGGGGGAUUACGUCCGGAAACGGGCGCUAAUACCGCAUACGUCCCGAGGGAGAAAGUGGGGGAUCUUCGGACCUCACGCUAUCAGAUGAGCCUAGGUCGGAUUAGCUAGUUGGUGGGGUAAAGGCCUACCAAGGCGACGAUCCGUAACUGGUCUGAGAGGAUGAUCAGUCACACUGGAGCUGAGACACGGUCCAGACUCCUACGGGAGGCAGCAGUGGGGAAUAUUGGACAAUGGGCGAAAGCCUGAUCCAGGCAUGCCGCGUGUGUGAAGAAGGUCUUCGGAUUGUAAAGCACUUUAAGUUGGGAGGAAGGGCAGUAAGUUAAUACCUUGCUGUUUUGACGUUACCAACAGAAUAAGCACCGGCUAACUUCGUG
rnacentral:rRNA from 1 species